UCCUGUCAUGGAUCAGUUGAUAGAGAAUGAGACUCUUAAUCUCAGGGUUGUGGAUUCAAGCCCCACAUCAGGCA